GACGAACGCUGGCGGCGUGCCUAAUACAUGCAAGUUGAGCGCUGAAGGUUGGUACUUGUACCAACUGGAUGAGCAGCGAACGGGUGAGUAACGCGUGGGGAAUCUGCCUUUGAGCGGGGGACAACAUUUGGAAACGAAUGCUAAUACCGCAUAAAAACUUUAAACACAAGUUUUAAGUUUGAAAGAUGCAAUUGCAUCACUCAAAGAUGAUCCCGCGUUGUAUUAGCUAGUUGGUGAGGUAAAGGCUCACCAAGGCGAUGAUACAUAGCCGACCUGAGAGGGUGAUCGGCCACAUUGGGACUGAGACACGGCCCAAACUCCUACGGGAGGCAGCAGUAGGGAAUCUUCGGCAAUGGACGAAAGUCUGACCGAGCAACGCCGCGGGAGUGAAGAAGGGUUUCGGAUCGUAAAACUCUGUUGGUAGAGAAGAACGUUGGUGAGAGUGGAAAGCCCAUCAAGUGACGGUAACUACCCAGAAAGGGACGGCUAACUACGUG
rnacentral:rRNA from 1 species